ACUUGGAAAUUCAAGGUCAAGAUGGAUAAGGGUAUUUUCCAGAUGAUCUUAUGCGGAAACCCGCACCGAAGUUUUCGUGGUCAUCUCUCUGUCAUCUCCCAUCGUUUGUCUUCGUCUUCCACGUUCAAUCGCCUCAUCAUUUUCAGGCCUCGACUAAAUUUUCUGGAGAGCCACCGCCCCGCACCGUCAUGGCCCUCCGACGACCACUGCCCCAAUUUCAACCACCAGUUUGAUCCUUAUGUUCAAUACCCCAAUCACCAUCCCGGACCCCCUUUUGGCCAGCCUAAUUAUCCCCCAGAGUACUCGCACCAUCCGCCACCACCGCCGCAGCAACAGCCUCCGUUCCAGCACCCGCCACCGCACCAACAGCCGUAUCAGCACCAGCAGAAUAACUGGAACCAUCCAGAGUUCCACAAUCAUCCCCCGGAUUAUCGUCCCCAGCCGCACUUUAACGGCGAGAUGAGUGAGAGGUUUGGAUACGGCGGUUUGAGGGCGAAUUGUGGGGAUCAGAAUGCAAAUUUGGGGCGUAAAAGGCCCAGAAUCCAUUCCGACAGAACGGUUCCUGCAGAUCAUGCUGAGGCUAGUGGCCUCGUGAAAUUGUAUGUUGCCCAAGUUCCCCGAACGGGAACCGAAGAAGCUAUUCGUUCUUUGUUUGAAGUCCAUGGAGAUAUUGUCAAGAUCAACUGGUCAACAGAAAGGUAGUUGCUUUGUGAAAUACGCUACCUUGGUUGAAGCAGACAGGGCAACCAGUGCUUUGGACAAUCAGUAUACUUUUCCUGGAGUGAGUUAUUGUUUAUAGCCGAUUGACGAACAUAUUGUAUGGAACACUUUUGCUCUUAUUUUGAAAGAACUGACACCUAUGAAUGUGAAAUAUGCUGAUAGUGAAAGAGACCGCCUUGAGGCAACAACAUUUCAGGCAGAGUGAGAUUCGGUCAUCCUCCUCAACCGUUUAGGUAUAUCGUGUACUCCGUUCCUUUUUGUCUAAUUUGAUAACAUAAAUUGUUUUCUUAUUGGUUUAACCUUUUCUAGACCUGAGCCUCCUCUUGGUCCUCCUUCUGGAGGAUGUUUUCCUAAUAAUUCAUAUCCUGGACAACAAAAUUCUACAAUCUUAGGAUCACCAAGGAAUGCUUCCCAAGAGGCAUCCCAUGCCCCUUUGGCUUCUAAUGCUGUACAGAAACCACCCCCCCAAAUACAAGAACCCUCAUUGUCUUUUGUUCAAAUUUCAUCUCAACCA